UUGAUCCGUGGAAGACUUGCUUUUCUUUAUGUAUAAGGGGUCGAAGGAAUCUUUGUGCACCAUCUUUUGUCAGGGUUGUGAUUCUCCAUAGAUAAAAUGGAAAUGGUAACAGUCGGUAACAGGAUCUUGUAUGUCUUGAGUUCUUCCCGCCGAUUAUGUUCAUAGGUGCUGAGAGCUGAUGCGUUUCAACGCGAAACUGGAGAAGGUUGAUAAGGGGAAGCCGAAGAAUUCGCUGGCUCAGCUUCCUUUGUUUUAUUGAAUAGCAAUUCGAUCUACAUGCUUCUUCCUUCAUUUCGUUAAUUGUUUUUCUUGCUAACGCACAUGAAUAGAUCACUGCGCGUCUUUAGUUUCCUAGGAAGCAAAGGACGUAGCGGGUAUCAUUGGCUUUUGGAUUGUGUUUCAUUUCAGGUUCAUACAACAUUAUGCUGCUCCUUGUGAGUUGCCUUGGCUUGCUUUCCGUGGUUAAGGGUGCACUUGAAAUUUAGAGUUAAA